rnacentral:rRNA from 1 species
UACGUAGGGGGCGAGCGUUGUCCGGAGUUACUGGGCGUAAAGCGCACGCAGGCGGUCUGUUAAGUUUGGAGUGACAGUUGGUGGCUCAACCACCAAAGUGCUUUGAAAACUGAUAGACUUGAGGGCUUCAGAGGGACACGGAAUUCCGGGUGGAGUGGUGAAAUGCGUAGAGAUCCGGAGGAACACCAAAGGCGAAGGCAGUGUCCUGGGGAGUACCUGACGGCUCAGGGUGCGAAAGCCAGGGGAGCGAAC